rnacentral:rRNA from 1 species
UACGUAGGGUGCGAGCGUUGUCCGGAAUUAUUGGGCGUAAAGGGCUCGUAGGCGGUCUGUCGCGUCGGGAGUGAAAACUCAGGGCUUAACCCUGAGCCUGCUUCCGAUACGGGCAGACUAGAGGUAUGCAGGGGAGAACGGAAUUCCUGGUGUAGCGGUGGAAUGCGCAGGAUAUCAGGAGGAACACCGGUGGCGAAGGGCGGUUCU